rnacentral:lncRNA from 1 species
CUAAAAUUGUGCAGUUUUCCAGGGCGUUAAUGAGAUUUUUCUAAGUCCCGACCCAGCUAUUUUGGGAGGAAAAAUACAUGAACCUGCAGCGGGAUAUUUUGGGAUGCAAGUAGGCAACUUGCACAACUUGUCCACUUGUGCCACUUGCAAGAUAUUAUCAAAGAUAAAAGUUAAGUGCGAGUUGGCGAAGAUAUUAUCAAAGGUACAAGUUGAGCACGAGUUGGCAAGAAUAAUAUCUACUAUGCAAGCUAAGAUCGAGUUGGCGACAACUUGCAAGGAAAGUUGUAAGUUUAUCCACUUGACGACAACUAAGCAUGAGUUGUAAACAACUAGCACGAGUUGUGACCAACUAAGCAUAGGUUGUAAAGUAAUGCAACUUGAUCUUAAGGAGGUUUAAGUUUUGCCUAUAAAUAGAGAUGGAAGUCUCAUUUGUAAAUCAUGUAGAGUUGAGUGAGUUUAUUCAUUAGAGAGAUUGUAAAUUUUUCCCUUUCAUAUAUACAAAGAAAGCUUCCCAACCUUACUUGUUUUCCAUAUAUCCCUUACUUCAAAAUUCUCUUCUCAACGUGGGUAUAAUUUAGCCUCCUUGAUUAAAUUAUUUGUGAACGUGGAAAGGUUAACUUAACGUUUUCUCGUGAGGUGCGGGAAUUGUCAAGCGUUAAGGCUGCACGGUUCUAGUUGUUCGGGUGUAACGAAACUAGGUCCGUGACAAGUGGUAUCAGAGCCUCGUCUGUAGGCCGUUACAAUGGCGGAAUCUCGAGAAACUGUUGAUAUUGAGAUUGAGGAGAGGGGUCGAGGUGUUGCCCAAACUGAAGUAAGGAAAACUCAAGGUAAAAGUAAGGUGAGGGAGGCCACCAACAUGAAAGGUAAACUUAACCAAAUCAUCUCAAAUAUGGGUGAUCGGGUCGAAUCUCUUAAAAGCUCCUUCGAGGCGUUGGAGGGACACGCCAUUGGAAAGCUAGAAACUCUACAAAUUAAUGUCCAAGAGGUGAUGGACACACAAUCAUCGUUGGAAAAUGAUGUCCAAACGAUGAUAGAUGAUGUUCGAGCUGUGGUAGCCGGACAAGCCGCGGUUACGGAUGAUUUUGGUCGUCUCCAAACCAAAGUCUUGGAUGCCGUUUCCGCCAUGCAUGGCCAAGUUAACCAAUUGGCUGUGAUGAUGGAAAGAAUGAGCAAAGAGCUUGAGCAAUACAAGCACUCCACUGCCGGUACAAGCGGAGGUGCCGCUUCAACUAUUGUUGCCCCGAGGAUUGAAUACCCGAAGCCUAAAAAUUAUGAUGGGCGACGGGAUGCCAAAG